UCUUGAUGAGUAGCACCCCGCAUACGAAAAAACUCUACCUCAAACAAUCAAAACGAUAAUCGAACUUCUCCAGCAACUGUGACUUUUUAUAAUAACAUAGCUAUUAGGUAAAACUAUCCGAGUCAAAUAAAUACAUUUAAAAUAAAACGAUUAAAACCAAGCCUCCACGUUUAUAUAAAAAGUCACGAAGGUUUCUGGAUGACAGCCAGGAAUGCCAGGUGGUUUUGUUAAAAAUCAGGACACCAUGAAGAAAAAAAUCAGGAUUCAGGACCACCAAUUCUGCUUAAUUUGUAUAAAUGAACACGAAAAAUGGACAAAUCCUGAUUUAUCGGGACACCUGGCACCUCUGAUGAUAGCUGUCAUGACUGCUAGCAGUUUUGAGCAACACAAAAAAGAAGAAGAAAUUGAGGUUGGUGGUAAAACGGAAAUCAACAGCAAUUUCGCACGAAUUUUUGAUGCUGUAGAUCAACAAUUAGUGCGAAAUUGCUGUCUUAUCUCCCGCAAAGGAUCAGGAAGCCGGCGCACCGAAGGCUGGACUCAGUACAGCCCAACAAUUAGGCCAAAAGAUGAAAAUAUUUAAGUGUCGCCGAAAACUGCUUAUUUAUAUGCAGCCCGAGUUCCCCGGCUGUGGGGACUGCCCUCGCUGGUGUAGCUAUGGCCAUGCAGUGUAGAUUUCGGACCGAAUUUGCCAAUAUCUGUGCACACUUGUUUUAACAUAGAUAAGCUACGCGAGUUGAACGUAGAAUUAAUUAUAAAUUUGUAUGCAGAAUGAAAUUAAUGUAAGUAAAAAUAAUAAAAUAAAAUAUAUAGUGAA